GCUUAUUCUCAGGGCGGGGCGAAACUCCCCACCGGCGGUAAAUCAGCGAACGCUGAAAGCCCGCGAGCGCUUCAGGCUAUGCCUGAAGGUCAGCAGAUCCGGUGUAAUUCCGGGGCCGACGGUUAAAGUCCGGAUGGGAGAGAGUAACG
rnacentral:ncRNA from 2 species